UCUUUCUUCUGCUCCACCUAACUUUAUACCUUUCUGACUAAGCACUGCCCCUACUUUAGUUAAUAAAUUCCAAAGUAUUCUGCCAUCCUUUAACUUUAUACCUUUCUGACUAAGCACUGCCCCUACUUUAGUUAAUAAAUUCCAAAGUAUUCUGCCAUCCUUCAUCUUCAAAGUCUUAGCUUUCUCAUUAAGCUAAUCCCUACUUUCUCUCCCUAACAUCACUUUCCCUAUCCCCAUUCACAGUUGUUCCAAAAACAAGGAAAGAGAUUCCAAGUCCAGUUCCAAAAUUUCAAAUCAAGAAGGUAGGUAAUUAAAUGUCUUACUCUUCAUUAAUCUUCCAGUUCCAAUUCCAAAAUUUCAUUCUUACUUUUUGAUCAACAAAUUGCAGAAUCGAACUAUUGCCAACACCACCCCUCAUAUCGAGGUCCGGGCGACAGAAAGUGAAGCAGAAGAAGAAACGACUCCACGCCAGCUUUAAGAACAAUUGAGGUUGAGCAGGCGAUGGAAUGGAUCGGUGUUGAGCGGAUUUCCCUUUUGAUGUUUAUGUAAUGAAACCUUGAGUAUGCAUCUCCAUAUGCAUAACUCACACGUUUUUCCGCUGCAAACACUCUGAAUUUGUUAUCGUAUUGUGGAACUUAUUACUCCUUCAUUUUGUUUAACUUUCAUUUGGGGUUUAGUCAUUAUGGCUGGCUCAUUUGUUAAUUACCCAAGUGGUUAUAUAUAUAUAUAUAUAUACCACUAGUUUGUUGU